GAACGUGGCCGCUUAGGUUACAUAGCGUACGGGUGCGAAAAAUUUGCUUUGAUAUUAUGUUGACUGCUUAAACCUUUUUGUUAAAUCAGUUCUGGCGACUCAAAUUGCGGAUUCGCAAUUUGAGUCGCCAAGGUUUACCGGCUUAAUUAGAAACACUUUGGGAUCAGGUAAUUGAGUUAAAUCAAGCCUACGACCCCUAGCUGGUCCGAUAGGAGGAUUAGCCACACUAUAACUGAAAACGGUCUAUACUUCGCUUGAAGGCAGCAGUGAGGAAUAUUGGACAAUGGGCGAAAGCUUGAUCCAGCAAUGUCGCGUGGGUGAAGAAGGCCUUAGGUUGUAAAACCCUUUCGUUAAAUAAAAAUGUCUGAUUUAUUUAAAGAAGAAGUCCCGGCUAACUUCGUGCCAGCAGCCGCGGUAAU
rnacentral:rRNA from 1 species